CCGGAAGUGCGGAUCCCAGCGGUGGUCGUGUAGCUGAGCAGGCCUGGGGCUUGGUUCUAUGUCCCUGUGGCUAUGUUUCCAGUGUCCUCUGGGUGUUUCCAAGAGCAACAAGAAACGAAUAAAUCUCUGAUGAAGAGAUACCAUUUGACAUUUUAGAGAUGGCUGCAUGCAAACUCUUAAAACAUUUGACCAUAGGAGUUUUAGCCAAUUCAGAGGCCUUGCUCCCCACAAUUUGGAAAAUUCCUUUGGAUUUGACCAAGUCAGGAAGAGAAGGGAGAAAAGUGAAACAACAAUAAAGCCCCAAGCAUAAACAAACAAAAAGAGUUAAGCAAAACAACAAAUGCACAAUUCAUAUGAUUACUGAGUGUUCUAAUGGUAAGGAGAAACUAAAAGCAGAAAUUAAAAGCAGCUGGUGAGUAAUCUUAAAUUUUAGUCAUUAAGGACAAAUUUUAAGACAAAACUCUAAUUCAGCUACUCACCUGGAAACAAGGCUCAGGCUGGUGAUCGUUCUCUGCCAUCUUAGAAGCUGAAAACAACUUACACUCACCUUCCCUGUCAGAAGCAAGCUGAAACUCAGGAAAGGAGGUGCCUGCUCUCCAUCACCACAGAAGCAGGAAAACUUGCCUUCCUUGUUGGAAAUGAGUAAAACUUCAGAAAAGGAGUUGUACAGAAAAAUCAAACUUAGAUCUCAACCAGAUUUUGGGAGACCAGGGACUCUUUGCAGGGGAGAAGCUCCACAACCUCAGCAAAUUAUCCUGUUGGUUUGGGCAAUAAAGAUAGCCCAUGUUGGUAUCAAUCAAUAACGAGAUUUAUCAAAGGUCAGGGCCACCUUUGUAAUGACCUUCUCUGUCUUUUUUUAUCUUUAUUGGUAUAUACGUUUUGUCGAAACUGGGAGUGUAACACCUGAUUUCUUCUGUUUUCCAUUUGCUUGAAAGAUUUUUCACCAUUCCUUCAUUUUGAGCCUAUGUAUGGCACUGCA
rnacentral:lncRNA from 1 species